rnacentral:rRNA from 1 species
ACCGGGAUUGCCUCAGUAACGGCGAGUGAAGCGGCAAGAGCUCAAAUUUGAAAGCUGGCUCCUUCGGGGUCCGCAUUGUAAUUUGCAGAGGAUGCUUCGGGUGCGGCCCCUGUCUAAGUGCCCUGGAACGGGCCGUCAGAGAGGGUGAGAAUCCCGUCUGGGAUGGGGUGUCGGCGCCCGUGUGAAGCUCCUUCGACGAGUCGAGUUGUUUGGGAAUGCAGCUCUAAAUGGGUGGUAAAUUUCAUCUAAAGCUAAAUAUUGGCCGGAGACCGAUAGCGCACAAGUAGAGUGAUCGAAAGAUGAAAAGCACUUUGAAAAGAGAGUUAAACAGCACGUGAAAUUGUUGAAAGGGAAGCGCUUGCGACCAGACUCGCCCGCGGGGUUCAGCCGGCAUUCGUGCCGGUGUACUUCCCCGUGGGCGGGCCAGCGUCGGUUUGGGCGGCCGGUCAGCGGCUCCCGGAAUGUAGCGCCUCUCGGGGCGCCUUAUAGCCGGGGGUGCAGUGCGGCCAGCCUGGACCGAGGAACGCGCUUCGGCACGGACGCUGGCAUAAUGGUCGUAAACGACCCGUCUUGAAACACGGACCCAGGGAGUCUAACAUCUACGCGAGUGUUCGGGUGUCAAACCCGUGCGCGCAGUGAAAGCGAACGGAGGUGGGAGCCCCCUGAGGGGCGCACCAUCGACCGAUCCUGAUGUCUUCGGAUGGAUUUGAGUAGGAGCGUAGCUGUGGGGACCCGAAAGAUGGUGAACUAUGCCUGAAUAGGGCGAAGCCAGAGGAAACUCUGGUGGAGGCUCGCAGCGGUUCUGACGUGCAAAUCGAUCGUCAAAUUGGGUAUAGGGGCGAAAGAC